rnacentral:rRNA from 1 species
CAGCCGCCGCGGUAAUUCGUAGGGUGCGAGCUUUAAUCGGAUUUACUGGUCGUAAAGCGUGCGCAGGCGGCCCGUUAAGACAGGUGUGAAAUCCCUGGGCUCAACCUAGGAAUUGCGCUUGUGACUGGCGGGCUCGAGUACGGUAGAGGGGGGUGGAAUUCCUGGUGUAGCAGUGAAAUGCGUAGAGAUCAGGAGGAACACCGAUGGCGAAGGCAGCCCCCUGGGCCUGUACUGACGCUCAUGCACGAAAGCGUGGGGAGCAAACAGGAUUAGAUACCCUGGUAGUCCACGCCCUAAACGAUGGGUACUAGCCGUUUGGUGCGCGAUAGCGCUGAGUGGCGAAGCUAACGCGUGAAGUACCCCGCCUGGGGAGUACGGCCGCAAGGUUGAAACUUAAAGGAAUUGGCGGG